AAGGAGAAGGUCAAUUUAUCUGAAGAAUCUCCAGUAAGUACAGACAGAAAAAGAGACAAAAGCCGAAAGUUCACAGUCUUUUGGACAGUUCCGAGGAUGACUUUGAAGUUCCAACAAAAAAGAAGAUGGAGACUUCCCCUCAGUCCCCUAGAUCAAGUACCCCUUUGUGUGGGACAUCUUCCAAAAUGGAAGUUGAUAAUGCAGAACUACCAAUUUUGCACUCCUCACAUUCAAAGUAUUUUGCAGUAGAUGAUACUUUUACUGGUUUUGGAGAUGUCCUUAUUUAAUCAGCACAUAGACCCUAGCCAUGAGCAUACAAGAAUAACUGGAAAGCAGUCUGCAAAGACUGUUAUUUUUUUAAUUUUUUUUUUUUUUUUUUAGAUUUUAUUGUUCGUCUAAUCACAUUUGCAAUUGUUAUGUCAGAUGCUGUAACUAGCCGCUUCACGUGUAUAUUGUAUAAUAUUUUUGGUUUCAAUAUCAGGAAUAAGUACCGGGUAUACUAUGUAAUAUAAUCAUGUAUGAGUGUUAUGUCGGGUGUGGUAAUAGGGUGCUCCACAUAUAUAACAUAUCCUCUGAAUUCUUUUUUAUUAAAAUGAUCAUUGUGACAUUGAUUCAUGAUAUAAAAUUUAAUUCCUGUUUUUUUUUAGUCAUGAAAAUUAAGUUAAGUGUGCAAAUCUUCAUUAUCAUAAAUUUCAAACUACAGUGUACCAUCCUUUUGGCUCUCUAUUUUUUUUUUUUUUUUUUGUAAAUCUUAAAUCAAAGUAGCCUUUUGUAUAAAGUGUUUCAUUUUCAUGGUGCAAGCCUCAUCUUCAUAAAAUACAAAUGAGGGUAUUUAAUUGAAUAAUGUUCAACAUGUAUAGAAAUAAAUUAUGAAAAUUCA